AUUGUUGUGGCUGUGGUGUAGGCCAGUGGCUACAGCUCUGAUCGGACCCCUAGCCUGGGAACUUCCAUAUGCUGCGAGUGCAGCCCUAAAAAGAAAAAGAAAAGAAGGGGCUUCCCCCUGUGCCUGCGGCCUUUGUCAAACCGUACUCCUGUGAUUGGAGGUUAACUGAUUUGGGGAUUCUGCAGAGGGCUAAGCCCCUGGUCUGUUGCUUGGAGGCUGUGUGACCUUAGACACAGACAUGGAACUAAAGCAUCUCUGGGGUUCAGUUUAUCAUCCGCUAAAUGGGCCCAACAGUAGGGAUUUCAGAGAGCUGCUGGGGGAUCCAGGAGACUAAGUCUGUACAAGACAGAAUGGUGCCUCACAUGUGUAAUAAGAGCUUGACAAAGGAUGGCUAAACAAUGGAUGUAUGUAUGUAUGAAGUAUCUGUCAAUUGCUCCAUAAAUAUCUUCUAAGAUUUAAGUCAAUGUCCCUCAAUUAGGGAAAAUGUGGAUUUGAUACAGAAACCAAAGAGCAACUUUAGGGGCUGGAAAACAUUAAAGCUAUAUUUAGUUAAAAUGCCCAGUCAGCAUCGCAAUGAGUAAACACUGAAAAGCCAUUCUCCCCUUUGUACAGCGUUUUGACUUCUUACAUGUAUUUGCUAUUUUUAAUCCAGGGGUGAUUUCUUCACCAACCCGACCAGUCGAGUUGAGCUUCCUUAUUAAGAGAGAGGGCUUCGAAGAGUGUGCUUUGCAGACACAAGUGUUUUGCAAGAGCCGGGGGGGGGCCCUGGAGCACCCCCAUAUGCUCCACCUACUGGCCUGUCCACCAUCGUCCCACCAAGCUGUUUUCUGAUGCAGGGUUACAAGGAAGAAAGUUCUACCCUCGACCCCUCAUACUUCUGCAGGGGCCCAUCUAGGGCCCUGGGGCCAGUCUAGGGCUCUGUGUCCCUAGAGUCUCCACCCUCUGUGUCCAUCUUCAAGGGCGUAAGAGACAGGCCGCCUUGGCCUCUUAGCUGACCCCUGCCAGGGCCCUGGCAGAAUGGCUGCAGCUCUGGGGUGCCUGACCGCCUGUAUUACCCUCACUGGGGUUAGAUCUUUUUUUUUUUUUUCUGGUCUUUUUAGGGCUGCACCCAUGGCCUGUGGAUGCUCCCAUAUCUGGGUUGAAAUCAGAGCUGUAGCUGCCAGCCUAGGCAGCUUUCUGGUCCUCAGUUUCCUCACCUGAAAAUGGGGCAAUACUAGUAUCUAUUUCACGGGGGCCGUUCUGGGGGUUGAAUGAGAUGACCUGGGGAGGGUUCAGAAUGAUGCCUCCUACACUGAGCACUCAAGUUAUUAUUAUUGUUGUUGUUGCUAUUGAUAGACAAGAUUAGGCAGUGACUUUUUCCCUCCCAUCCCCUUGUGCUGCCACCAGGGCCAUUGGCCUCCUUGAAUCCUCUGGAGUCUCUGAAGAUCUGCAAAAGCCUUCUUGUCUUCCACCCCAUGGUGACAGGCAUGGGGGGAGGCAAGAGUGGCCAGGAAUUGUCCUCUCCCCUGCACUGCUGGUGUGGGGGAAACGUAGGCGGGACCUGAAGCGAUGCAGCCCCCCUGGGCAUUCUCACCUGGUGGCUGGCUCUUUCCUCUCUGGGACUGUUCUAGAAUCCCUGGAAAAGUCUGGGAGCAGAGGCUCCUCGCAGACUCAGCCCUCUGAGCCUCAGGAUGGGCCUCGGUCAAAUGGGGACCGCUCACACCUGGCCUCCAUUGUAUCCAAAUGUGAUUACACAUCUGGGCAGCAGCUCCCCCCCCCCCCCGUCCCCGCCCUGCCUCAAGAAGGAGCGCAAGGCGAGCGAGACUCCUGGAGCCAAGACGACCUUCACCCUUGGGUUUUGUCCGCGUGGAGAAGACAGGUGCCACAGUCCUGCUAGGGUGGAGGGAAUGCUGGCCCCCGGUCUCUCUGGAGCGAGGGGACUCCACGGAUCGGGGACAGGAGACACGCGUCUCCAGCCCCGGGGCCCGGCUGUGCGCGCAGGAGGGAGGACCCAGAGCGGGCUCUGCCUGGGCUUGCCUGGGCUUGUUCAGAGCCAGGCUGCUUGCCUCGGUGACUGCGCGGAUCCGGGGAGAUUUCGAGAUUUUGCGGGAGCCUUGGAACCAAGCCCCGGGGAGGAGGCGGCUGGAAGCCCGCGCGACCUGCUCGCCCCGUCCAAGGGUGAGCCCAGUGGCUCUCCGAGGAGGCUCAGUGUAAUUGGCUGCCUUCUGAAGCAGGCGGUUGAACUUGAGCAGUGGUUGGGAUGCCUGGACCCGCUCCCCAGGCACCACCUGUGGCCUCACACUCAGCCAGUGCUGAGAGCUCCAUGCUCACUGUCGACUUGGCUGGACAAGAAGCUAGUUCCAGCCUCCAAGGACUCCAGUUGCCACCAGCCCCACUAGCCUCACCAGCUGUACCCAUCAGCCCCUGGUUAACACAUCAAACCAGAACCUCCUCGCACAAACUGGACAGUACCCCAGGGCUGCUCUCCCUGCUUCACCUGGGCUGGGACCUGGCAGAGCUCUGAGUCUUCCGGAUUCCAGCGUCCGAGGUAGCCAGUCUGCCGACUGCUGGCGUAAAGCUGCUUUCCCAAAAUAGCCACCCAGAGGGAAAAAAGCAGCCCUGGAAUUUGACCCUGACCAUCACCGAUCACUGGGAAGGCUUUUGUUCAGGCUCCUGGUCCACCUGGCCCCACCUCUGACUGUUACCGAGGCCCUGCCGGUGGGUAUGGGGGCUGGUGUUUUCUCUCUCCCCUCUCUCUUUCCCCUUCCCUUUUGCUCUUUUUUUCCAUCAGCUUUAGAUUGAGAAUUGAAAUGACGCAGGAGAGAUGUCGCAGUGCCUGAUUGGCUGGAGGGGGUGGGAGCAGGUCACAGGUGGGAGCAGGCAGGGGAGGGGACCUGGGUGCGAGCACCUC